CAGCCGCCGCGGGAAUACGAAGGGUGCAAGCGUUACUCGGAAUUACUGGGCGUAAAGCGUGCGUAGGUGGUUGUUUAAGUCUGCUGUGAAAGCCCUGGGCUCAACCUGGGAAUUGCAGUGGAUACUGGGCAACUAGAGUAAGGUAGAGGAUAGUGGAAUUUCCGGUGUAGCGGUGAAAUGCGUUGAGAUCGGAAAGAACACCAACGGCGAAAGCACUCUGCUGGGCCGACACUGACACUGAGAGACGAAAGCUAGGGGAGCAAAUGGGAUUAGAUACCCCGGUAGUCCCUGUCUCUUAUAC
rnacentral:rRNA from 1 species